UACGGCGGCCAGAGCGACGAGGUGCCUCCCGUACCCAUCCCGAACACGGAAGAUAAGCUCGUCUGCGUAUCGGCACGUACUGGAGUGCGCGAGCCUCUGGGAUCCCCGAUUCGCCGCCUUCACUCAUACU
rnacentral:rRNA from 2 species